AACAAACUUGCCCCCUUCUAUGUUUGUAUGUUGGCUUCGUCCCCGGGAAAUAGAAACAUAGCUUGGUUAAAUAUAAUCUUCGCCAAUCUACAAAACUAAAUCUCUACAGUCAUUGUAAUGCAAAAUUCACAAGGCAAGAAGGGGAAAGCAAAGCCAGGGGAGCUAUCGUGGGCGCUGACGCACGCCAUUGCCGCGUUUGUGCAUGUGCCAGAUAGGUACCCACUGUUUCACCAUUUAAUCUGGAAACCUGGCAUGCAGACAGCGACGAUUAUUCCUCCGCCGGACAGAAGCUGCUUAUUCCUCCGCGAACACUGACCGGUGAGAGUGACUCAUCCGGACAAUGGACGAUCGCGUCAGCGCAUCCGUGCGCCCCAAACAAUCUCCACGGGCUUCAUUUUCCCGCACGCGCCGGCGCCGCGGCUUCGCCAGCGCUUCCAUCGCCAGCCGCAACGGGAUGAUAUUAUCUGGACCUCAGCGGUAACCGGCUGUGGCCGGGCGAUUACUGUUCAACGCCCCCGGCCCGACAAGUAGGUAAGAUUGAUGCCUCUGCGGACUGCGGUGAUCUGGGUCGUGGUCGUGGUCGUCGCUUCGUUGCCUUUCUCCAUCGAUCAGUCGUGGAUGCUCAAGACAGUGAUACGCCUGACCGCUAAGGAAAGAAUUUUAGUUGCCAAUCAUGGCCUGGCUGUCUGGCUCAUUCCGUUUUCACUGUCUGGACUAUUCAUAUGAUUAAUCAGAUUUAGUAAUAAUUAUCAUAGGUACUAGUACUAGAAGAAGAUAAGAGUCAACGACAUGCAUCUUUUGUAAAUGCUGCUAUCGAACCAAUUAGGUAGACAACACCAUUAAUCAGUUCAGUGCAAAAUUUCCCCGAAGAUCGGGUGCCUCCUCCUUUCGAGUUGGGAGUUCAGAAAGUUGAAACACACGGUACAGUAGACUGCAUUAUUAUUAUCUCUGUGUUUUGCAGUAAUAAACUCUAAACAUCCGCUUAAUGGAGGCCAGGACCAAAACGCCCCUGUAUCAGUGUCAAAGCUACUCCGUCAGUCAAUAUUCAUCAGCGCGGUGUACAGUAUCGGAUUCAUAGCAGGCAAGGCCGAUCAAUCUGGGGACGUGCUUAACUGAGCCGAGGACUGACGACAGAGAAGCGAUUCUGGGCUCCUGUCGUCCCCCGCCCCGCCUGCUAAUCCUUGACCCCGCGGCCGGCUUCCUCACUCCUCGCUUCCUUGCUGCUUCUCCUGUCGACGUCGUGUUCGCUGCCUUCUUUCCAG
rnacentral:lncRNA from 1 species